UGUAGACGAGGCAUAAAGGUUCUCAGGCCGGCGUCCCAUUGAGUGGAAAUCCACGGCGGCACGAAACGCGCGGAGCCAGCGCGACCAAUUAGGGAAACAAAAAAAGCGCAGGAAAGAAAACGGAAUAGCUGUGAUUGGUCGCACUGGUUCCGCGCGUUCUGUUCCGUUGUGGAUUUCCGCCCAAUGGAACGCCGGCCUUAUGCCCGGUCUACAUCGGCUGUCUUGGAAUGUAUAGACGUUAGGUUAGACGUGUUCACGUGUAGUGGUCUCCCGCUAUUAGUGCGUAAAUUAGCAAUAAACAUUUCUAAGCUACCUUUUUCAAAAAGGUACCUUUUUGUGUCGGAUUAGUACUCGCGUUCUCGCGUAUCUGCCCUCCCUAGUGCUUCUUUUCUCACACGGAUUGUGGACCAUCGAUUGUUCUCGGCUUUGGCCAUUGCCUCGGACAAAAGCAUUGACUUAUAGCACACAAGCACGGUUUUUUGAGAAGAAGCAACAAUAUAUCGUAAUAUAGUAAAUCGGACCUUCGAACACCAGAUUUUAGAAAAAAUAUAUAUAUAAUACAAGUUUAUAUAAAGAAAGCAUUGCCUUUUUUGGAAGAGACAAUACUGUAACAUACUGAGGCCGAUGCAUGUGGCUGAUUUAAUAACAGUCUCUUUCUACAUAGUGAAUAAUUCUGCUUUUUGAUGGAUUCAUGCUACUCGAUGAACUUGCUUCUUUAAUAAACUGCAAUAUAUACUGCCUGAUAUACUGUCAUUUUUAAUUACAAACUUUGUGUAAUUAUGGAUGACCAAUACAUGGAAGAGA